AACGAACGCUGGCGGCAUGCCUAACACAUGCAAGUCGAACGAGACCUUCGGGUCUAGUGGCGCACGGGUGCGUAACGCGUGGGAACCUGCCCUUAGGUUCGGAAUAACUCCCCGAAAGGGGUGCUAAUACCGGAUAAUGUCUUCGGACCAAAGAUUUAUCGCCUUUGGAUGGGCCCGCGUUGGAUUAGCUAGUUGGUAGGGUAAAAGCCUACCAAGGCGACGAUCCAUAGCUGGUCUGAGAGGAUGAUCAGCCACACUGGGACUGAGACACGGCCCAGACUCCUACGGGAGGCAGCAGGGGGGAAUAUUGGAACAUGGGCGAAAGCCUGAUUCAGCAAUGCCGCGGGAGUGAUGAAGGGCUUAGGGUUGGAAAGCUCUUUUACCCGGGAUGAUAAUGACAGUACCGGGAGAAUAAGCUCCGGCUAACUCCGUG
rnacentral:rRNA from 1 species